rnacentral:rRNA from 1 species
UACGAAGGGGGCUAGCGUUGUUCGGAAUUACUGGGCGUAAAGCGCGCGCAGGUGGUCCUUCAAGUCAGGGGUGAAAGCCCAGAGCUCAACUCUGGAACGGCCUUUGAGACUGUGGGACUUGGGUACGGGAGAGGUGAGUGGAAUUCCGAGUGUAGAGGUGAAAUGCGUAGAUAUUCGGAAGAACACCAGUGGCGAAGGCGGCUCACUGGCCCGUUACCGACACUCAGGCGCGACAGCGUGGGGAGCAAACAGG